CAAGGUUGAACUGAGGAAGCCUAAACUGGAUCUAACACCAAACUGUACUAAAAGCAAUCUGGCUGCAGACUCUUUGAUACUUUGGUUCUCUGACUUUGAUUUCCAUGGGAUCCUUGCUAUGCCCUUACAAGACUAUCCUUUUCUAUGGACUCCACAUGGAGUAUCGUUAAAAAGAAAAUGGCUAAUCAAGUAAGACUCCAUGGUACGAAGGCAGAGAGAAUACCAAUCAACUGAAACGAUUGUUUAUGCUAAGACAUGGACUCUGAUAAAUUCCUUUGGCUUCGGAAAUUUUCCUCUUUGAAGUAUGUUCUAGUCCAGCUUCAGCGAUAAAGAGGCUGCUUCACAUUGGACAACUCGAUCAGCAUAGCUCAGCCUCAGCUUUCAUUCACUGAGAUAACGAGUGACCAGAGAGGAGGGGGCUGGGGAGAAGACAGCCUUCAAGUUUCUUCCCUGAACCCCAAUUCUCUAGCUCAAUUCCACUGUGACCUGGAUACUACUGAGUUUAUCCAUAAACGUGCUAUGACCAUG